AGAGUCUGAACCAGCUGAUGAUUGACAGCUCUGUCCUCCAAUCACACACCAGCAUCUCCCCUCCCUGCUCCUGAUUGGACUAUUCCAUCAUUCCCUGAGCUGUCGUACUGCUCAUGAAUGAUCUCAUCUCUUUACUGAGUUUAUCUUAAUGAAUGUUUGUUUUACAUUAUUUAUUUAUAGCACUUCACCUAUUUUAACAGAACAAGUUAGCCAAGUAAAAAACCAGAACAAGACUAAAACAUGAUCAAAGUGAGAGUUUAACGUUCUUUAUUUGAUAUUGCCUCAGGGCGCUGCGCUGCGUUCAGGAGCUGCUCGUUCAGGGUAAAGUCACCUCGCUGGACAUCAGCUCAGACCAUCGGCAGCUGCUCAGCUGUUGCCGUGACGACUGCCUCCAGCUGGUCGAUUUGAGGGGGCGGAGCAACGAGCGCGUGUGCUUCAGAGCCGACGGCUUUAAAUGUGGCAGCGACAGCACCAAAGCAGUGAUCAGUCCAGAUGGUUGUUUCCUGGCUGCCGGAUCAGCUGACGGAGCCGUUUACAUCUGGAAGGUUUCCACCGGCAACCUGGAGACCCGCCUCCCCGACAGGCACAGCUCAUCCAUCAGCGCUGUGGCCUGGUCUAUGUCCGGUGAAUAUGUCGUCAGUGUGGAUAAAAGUAGGCGGGCCGUCCUCUGGAGUGACAUCUGAGCCGAUCUGUGAAGAGAGCCCCGGGAAACACACCUCGCCUUAAAAAACUAACUGAUCUGAGAGCUGUUAAAGGGAACAAAUGUGUUUUAAUUUAAAUUUGUGUGUGUUUUUUUAACCUAUUUGUUGAUUGGACAAAAGGGAUGUGAGAGUGAUUUAUAACAAAACUGGGAAGCUUUAAUACAACAACACAGGAAAUAUUUUAACUGUAAAACCAAACAAAGGGAACCGGAGACGGAGAACAUUUAACCGUUGUGCAUUACUUAACGAAACUGUUCUGAUGUCCUUUUCCCACGUAACAAAACUGCCAUAAAAUUGUAUGUUGAUAUUAUUUCCAUUUCCACUGAGUAAUGUUUUUUUUAAAAACAUCAGUCCUGAUCAUAACUACGAAAUAUAUAUUAAUUUUCAGGAUUUUAACUCCAUGCCAUUUUGUAUACAUAAUGAACCUCUUGUUGAUUUUUAUUGAAAAUUUUUUUUUUAAAAAUACAACUAUAUAUUUUGUUUAUACUAAAUACUGAGCAACAACAUUGAUUAUUGAUGCAUCAUUGCAUCAAACACUGUAGUGCUCCAUAAUACAGUAGUGAUGCCUCUAGUGGACACAAAGAGAAUAACAUGUAUUAUCUCUAUAAUACAGUUGUGAUGCCUCUAGUGGACACCAGGAGAAUAACAUGUAUUAUCUCUAUAAUACAGCAGCGAUGCCCCUAGUGGACACCAGGAGAAUAGAAGGUGGAUUUACAUUUAAAAGGCGACUGUGAUCCUCUGUUUGUGCUCUUGGCUUUGAAGACUGAAGUCAGCAGCUUCAAAGAGAAAAGGUGAUGACUGGAGGCUCUGAUGGAGUCUGAACACAUCGACAUGAAACACACUGAUUUAUAUCUGAUGUCAUCGUUCACGUUAAACUGAUUGAUUUCGUGAAAAUGUUUCUGAUCAAACUGCUGGUUCUGAUACAGGAAGCUGCCUCAAGACCUGAACCAACAACUGACUGAUUAUUAACACACAUUUACAGUUCAUCUACAGGCCAACACUGUUUUUAUAGAUACAUGUUCAAUUUAAAGUCAGUAAAGAAACACCGUAGAGUACUGUAAAGAAACGUAGUAGAGUACAGUAAAAAAGCUUCAUCAGGGACGUUAGUUUUAUCAAACGUUAGCUGUAUCACGUAAAAUAUUACAAUUUAUUAACAUUAAAAAAAAAUUAUGAUAAAGACUAACGAUAAUGAGAAAAUAAGCAAUUUGACUUCACUGUCAGCUGAUGUUCCUCUAACAUAUUAUUAUUCUUUGAUGUUCUAAUGUUUACACAACCGAUGAACAGUCUGUAGUUCUAAUAAUCGGCUGUCUGACCUUCAUCCCGUCAUCUUUAUUAAUUAAUUAUUUGUUGAAUUCUCAUCUGCGAUGUUUAAAAAAUGCGACGUGACAGCGAUCAUGAUGAUGAUGAAGCUUCAGGCGGUUUCACACUGAGGUCAUUAAUUAGGAAACAGGAAGCAGCUGCUGCCUUUGACCCGACCGACCUUUGUUUGAUCUGGAAUGAGGAAAUAUUGAUUAGUAAUUACUGCAGAAAUACAAAUAUACGACCGUAACUAUGGCUGUUAGUAGCAACGCUGAGUUCACUCCUUUUAUUUUCACAGUCUCUUUACGGGUGUUUUUCAAAAUAAAAGUUAAAAAAAAUUUGGACCCUCACUACAGCGUGUAGUGGGUUAGGGUUAGUAGGGUUGUAGUGAGCUCCUAGAGACUGAACCUUUCUGCAGAGUUUUUAUUUAUUUAUUGUUAAGUAAACAUUAAUAUUUUGGACAGCUGAGUGUAAAUGUUGCUGUGUUAAUGUAGUAAUUAAUAAAUUAAUACAUUUAAAAUAAGCAAAUUAAUAGGUUUUGAAGCAUUUAUUCUUUUAUGUGUUUUUUUAUUUCUUAUCGACGCAACACAAAUUAAUUCCACACCAACUUCCUGUUUUUGGUUUUUAGGAUUCUAUUCAAUUUCCCAUUUUACGUCUUUUAACAUUUCAGGGUGUUGGAUUCGAGUGUUUGUGUUGUGGAUCCAUUGAUGAAAUAGACUCUUAAUUAUACACAGACGAUUUGCCACAUUUCAGCCUCCGUAAAGAAGGUCUGUUUGUCUCUGUGACGCAGUUUAACUCGUGUUUAUGUGAAGUUCAUGUUUAUAUUUCUUCCGCUGAAGGUCAGAAUCCAGCUGUCAGCAACACCUUAAUGUCACCGACUG